rnacentral:lncRNA from 9 species
ACUGCUGGGCUGGUCUCGGGGGGCGGGGAGCCUCUUGCGGGUGGCGCCUGCGGGGUGUGCGUUGCGUGCGUUGCGUGCGUUGCGUGCGUUGCGUGCGUUGCGUGCGUUGCGUGCGUUGCGUGCGUGGGUGUUGCGCGCGUGGGGCAGAGGCGAGCGCCGAAGGGUAUGCUGAGGGACCCCAGGCGCCCGCCAGAGGGAGUGCAGUAAGGCUGUCAGCGGACCUCAGCUGACAGGUAAGCCGGCGGGUAUGGAGUUUUUGGCG